AUUGAACGCUGGCGGCAGGCUUAACACAUGCAAGUCGAGCGGAGAUGAGGUGCUUGCACCUUAUCUUAGCGGCGGACGGGUGAGUAAUGCUUAGGAAUCUGCCUAUUAGUGGGGGACAACAUUCCGAAAGGAAUGCUAAUACCGCAUACGCCCUACGGGGGAAAGCAGGGGAUCUUCGGACCUUGCGCUAAUAGAUGAGCCUAAGUCGGAUUAGCUAGUUGGUGGGGUAAAGGCCUACCAAGGCGACGAUCUGUAGCGGGUCUGAGAGGAUGAUCCGCCCCACUGGGACUGGAACACGGCCCAGACUCCUACGGGAGGCAGCAGUGGGGAAUAUUGGACAAUGGGCGGAAGCCUGAUCCGGCCAUGCCGCGUGUGUGAAGAAGGCCUUUUGGUUGUAAAGCACUUUAAGCGAGGAGGAGGCUACCUGGAUUAAUACUCUAGGAUAGUGGACGUUACUCGCAGAAUAAGCACCGGCUAACUCUGUGCCAGCCGCCGCCGUAAAAC
rnacentral:rRNA from 1 species